GCCGGAGUGGCGGAAUGGUAGACGCGCUGGUCUCAAAAACCAGUGGGGGCAACCCCGUGUCGGUUCGAGUCCGACCUCCGGCACCA
rnacentral:tRNA from 1 species